AGAGAAUUUGGGAGCCAGAAUUGACCAUUAGUUUGAAAGAUCGAUGGAUCCGUGUGCAGUAGACCGUCCACUAAUGGCUCCGGAGACAUGAACGCUUUGCGGGGGAUUUCUUCCCUUUUUCGAAAUUACACAACGACGGGCUUGUUCCGGUAGUAGUUCGAAUGGAUGACAUUUUAUUCACUGCACAGCAUCUCGAAAAUGGCAAAUAAAAAGCAAAAUUAGAAUGGAUUUCUGAUUUGUAUGGCUCCUAGCAUACCUGACGCCCCCCCCCCCCGCACCC